rnacentral:rRNA from 1 species
AUGAACGCUAGCGGGAGGCUUAACACAUGCAAGUCGAGGGGUAUUAUAGCAAUAUAAGAGACCGGCGCACGGGUGAGUAACGCGUAUGCAACCUGCCCUUUACAGGGGGAUAGCCCGUCGAAAGGCGGAUUAAUACCCCAUAACAUUGAGUUGCCGCAUGGCAGUUCGAUAAAAGUUUCGGCGGUAAAGGAUGGGCAUGCGUGACAUUAGCUGGUUGGUAGGGUAACGGCCUACCAAGGCUACGAUGUCUAGGGGUUCUGAGAGGAAGGUCCCCCACACUGGUACUGAGACACGGACCAGACUCCUACGGGAGGCAGCAGUGAGGAAUAUUGGUCAAUGGGCGAGAGCCUGAACCAGCCAUCCCGCGUGCAGGAAGACGGCCCUAUGGGUUGUAAACUGCUUUUGUGCAGGAAGAAUGCUCGAUACGUGUAUUGAGGUGACGGUACUGCAUGAAUAAGCACCGGCUAACUCCGUGCCAGCAGCCGCGGUAAUACGGAGGGUGCAAGCGUUAUCCGGAUUUAUUGGGUUUAAAGGGUGCGUAGGCGGUAAAAUAAGUCAGUGGUGAAAAGCUGCAGCUCAACUGUAGUCGUGCCAUUGAAACUGUUUUACUUGAGUAACCAUGAGGUAGGCGGAAUGUGUAGUGUAGCGGUGAAAUGCUUAGAUAUUACACAGAACACCGAUUGCGUAGGCAGCUUACUAGCGGUUUACUGACGCUGAUGCACGAAAGCGUGGGGAUCAAACAGGAUUAGAUACCCUGGUAGUCCACGCCGUAAACGAUGAUAACUCGCUGUUGGCGAUACACAGUCAGCGGCUUAGCGAAAGCGUUAAGU